rnacentral:rRNA from 1 species
AGAUUGAACGCUGGCGGCAUGCCUUACACAUGCAAGUCGAACGGCAGCACGGGAGCAAUCCUGGUGGCGGGUGGCGAACGGGUGAGUAAUACAUCGGAACGUGCCCAAUCGUGGGGGAUAACGCAGCGAAAGCUGUGCUAAUACCGCAUAAGAUCUACGGAUGAAAGCAGGGGAUCGCAAGACCUUGCGCGAAUGGAGCGGCCGAUGGCAGAUUAGGUAGUUGGUGAGGUAAAGGCUCACCAAGCCUUCGAUCUGUAGCUGGUCUGAGAGGACGACCAGCCACACUGGGACUGAGACACGGCCCAGACUCCUACGGGAGGCAGCAGUGGGGAAUUUUGGACAAUGGGCGAAAGCCUGAUCCAGCCAUGCCGCGUGCAGGAUGAAGGCC